rnacentral:rRNA from 1 species
AUGAAUGAUAAUGUCAACCCUGACAACCUAUUUGACGAUGAGUAUUACCUGUUUGCUGGUGAAGGCUCAGAUGCUGAUGACAUGGAGCACGACGAAUUGGAAGAUGACCGUCACAAUACCUAUGUCGACCAUGAUCCAUUGGACUAUGUCUACUCAAACCUCCCAGACCACACACACAUCCUGAAGCACGCCGCGAACUGCGAUCAUUGCAAGGCCAAGAAGUUUGAGUCCGAGGCCCCGGGAUUCUGCUGUCGCAGUGGG